GGAGGUCCGAACCCACGAGCGUUGAAAAGCUCGGGGAUGACUUGUGGGUAGCGGUGAAAUUCCAAUCGAGCCCGGAGAUAGCUGGUUCUCCCCGAAAUAGCUUUAGGGCUAGCCUCAAGGUGAGAGAUACGGAGGUAGAGCACUGAAUGUCCUAGGGGGUAUUGCACCUACCGAAGACUAUCAAACUCCGAAUGCCGUCAUCUUAUACUUGGGAGUCAGACUGUGGGUGAUAAGAUUCAUAGUCGAAAGGGCAACAGCCCAGAUCGUCAGCUAAGGUCCCUAAAUGUAAGUUAAGUGGUAAAGGAUGUGGGAUUGCACAGACAACCAGGAUGUUGGCUUAGAAGCAGCCACUCAUUCAAAGAGUGCGUAAUAGCUCACUGGUCGAGUGAUCCUGCGCCGAAGAUUUCCGGGGCUAAAACUUACUACCGAAGCUACGGCAUCAGUAAUGAUGGGUAGGGGAGCUUCCCAUACGGGUUGAAGCAUGACCGUAAGGACAUGUGGACAGUAUGGGAGUGAGAAUGUUGGCAGGAGUAGCGAGAUGUGGGUGAGAAUCCCACAGGCCGUAAACCCAAGGUUUCCAGGGGAAGGUUCGUCCGCCCUGGGUUAGGCGGGACCUAAGCUGAGGCCGAAAGGCGUAGGUGAUGGACAACAGGUUGAUAUUCCUGUACUACCGAUAACCGUUUGAGAGAUGGGAUGACACAGUAGGAUAAGCUAAGCACACUGUUGGUUAUGUGUGCCCAAGCAUUGAGGCAGUCAAAGUAGGCAAAUCCGCUUUGAUAAUGCUGGGAUGUGAUGGGGAGCGAAAUUUAGUAGCGAA
rnacentral:rRNA from 1 species